ensembl:snoRNA SNORD79 Small nucleolar RNA SNORD79
UGCUGUUAGUGAUGACUUAAAAGAACAAUAGAUGGGAAUCUCUCUGAAAGAGAAUGAAGAUUAGUUUGGAACUGAAACAGCA